rnacentral:rRNA from 1 species
AAGGGCACCACAAGAACGUGGAGCAUGUGGCUUAAUUUGACUCAACGCGGGAAAUCUUACCGGGUCCGGACACACUGAGGAUUGACAGACAGUUGCUCUAUACUACUUAAUCGUUGGCUGGAUCGAAAUAUAUAGAUCUUUCAUGAUUAUGUGUAGGUGGUGAAUGGCCGUUCUUAGUUCGUGGAGUGAUCUGUCUGCUUAAUUGCGUUUCAACAUAUUUAUUUAUGUUUGUACACCGAUACUAUUUGAUCAUUUAGUUGGUCUAGUAUUUUAGUUGUGCUUUCAUAUUUGAACGCAACGGACGUGAUUGCAACCCCUUGUUGAAUUGGCACUUACUGCAAUUCACUUUCAUUGGUCCUUUAUUGAACCUUUGGGAAAACUCGGGGGACCGCUGAACGAUUUUCCUUUAAACCAGAGGAAGAUUGCGGCAAUAACAGGUCUGUGAUGCCCUUAGAUGUCCCGGGCCGCACACGUGCUACACUGAUUGCGCCAGUACGUGUCCCAUUCGCUUAGAACCAUUGGUUUUGGUAGUUAUACUGAUGGAUUGUUGUAGCUUGCUACUUCAAACCUGAUUUAUGGCUCCACCCAAUAUCGUCUAGUCUGAGAAGGCUGGGUAAUCUAUUUGAAGUGGUGAUUUUUCCUCGUUGCGAGCAUUUUAAUAAAUGGUUUCGUACUGUCCCUGCAGUACAAUUUUUAGUACGCGGUGCGACAACUAUGAUAUUGCCUGCCACACAUGUUCCUAUUUAUUCCCAGUGG